GUGAGUGUAGCUCAGUGGUAGAGCAUUUGCCUAGAAUGUAAAAGGCCCUAAGUUCAAUUCCCAGCACUGAAA
rnacentral:tRNA from 1 species